UGAUAUAGUAGGGACAGUAGAUAUAGGGAAAGCAUGAACUGAACUUUUCCAAUUGAGUUUAUCUUUGAUCGGACACUUCCCGCUGUUCCACUGGUAGAUGCUGGUCUUUGAUGUGAUCAGAGCGUACCCUUGUUUAGAUCUAGGACACUGCAUUUCUCUGAUGAGACUUUGAGUAGUUAGCUGAUAAAAAAUCUAUUUGUUCUUAAAUCCUAGUACCACUGUUUUAAAAGGCCCACGUCAGCAGACAGACUCUGAUAACAAUCACUAAAAAAAUGUUUCCACCCUUCCUAAUUCAUCUCCUAAGGAAAAAUGUUUGAAACCUUUUUUUUCGCUUUCCUUUUCUUUAUUUAUUUCUUUCUCCGGACAGAGUUUAAGACAUGGAGAAUAUCUUCUUGGGGGACUUUACUAUGAUUACUUAUUCAUGUUGCUUGGUUUUCGCACUUAUUUGGAUAACUUGCAUACGUGUCGAAUCAUUUUUCUUUUAAGAGACUAUAAUGGAAACUGUGUACUUUCAACUUAACAGGAAGCGUUUGUUUACCCUGAUAAAUGAUCUGCCACUAUAUUUGAAGUCGUUGACAGAUAGGAAGCCGUAAAGGACAAGUCCCAGUUUGGAUAGCGAAGCAAAUCCCGAUUCAGCAUGGCACGAAGGUAAAACAGUUCAAUUUUUCAUAAAGGCAUAUUCUAUUUUUGCUCUUCGUGUUUUAACCUAUUGUUUCACAACCCCAACUCGCAUUGGCAGAGAUCAAUAUGGGCGAUCAAACAAGCGUAAAGCUAGACGAUAAGAAUUAACGAGGGAGGAUGAAGAAUGAGGCACGGCGAACGCUUCUGUGGGACUGUGGGGCAAAUGACAGUGCCAAUGAUUUCUGGAUAGGCUGUGACAUUGCGAGAGGUGGUUCCACGGGAAGUGUGAAAAAUAACACCGGCCAAGGCGGAAAAUAUCAAGCAGUCACCAAUGGCCUUCUUGCAAGCACCAAGAAGAGCAACAGUAGAGACCUGAAUCAAGGUUUUCAAUGGCUUAACCCUUAAUUGUUUAGUUGACCUAUUUUCUAUUGCCUUAAUCAGUUACCGCUUUGUUCAUAUGUUCAUAGGCGACAAAGGUCCCAAGUUUGGGUUUUGUUGUCCUCAUCACAAGCACGCCGGGUUGUAUGUUUUCUCUGUAUAAGAUAGUUUGUCCCUCAUUUUUAUGUUGUUUUCACAACUUUCAUUCGAAGGAAUACUGGUCUCAAAUGUGUGUUUAGGACUCUCUGUUGUGUUUAGACCAUUUGAUUAUCUCAGUUCAGAGUUGAAAAGUGGAUAGAUAUCCAUGACCUAAUUUUGAUUCUCACUAACCGAGUUACAAUCCCACUAGAUUUUAGACCCAUUGUCUAUGUUCUUGGUUCGUGGAUGAGAAUCUACUGGUUAGGUAUCGGUCCAGUGAGCUUCUGUGCCCUUAGCCGAUAGAAAUGUGGUUUUGGGAAAUGUUUGGUGAAAUAUCUGGAUUUCAAAUUGUCUGCCUAAAUCGAGUAUCGUGAACUGUUGUGCACUUGGUCGAAAACGGAAACCCACAAAGCCAAAUUUUAAGCAUGUCUGCUCCCUCCGUUCUUCAUUCGUGGUUCAUCUUUUUUAAUUUUAGGUUGUUUUAAUUGUGAGUUUGUCGGUUUUUUGAAGUUAAUGUUAAAUUUUUGUAGUUUAUCAAUUUAUGCCCUAUAAAAUGGUUAUAAAAGUGUUACAAUUGAGAAUAAAGUUGGGAAUGUUGAAAAGGAAUGCAUAACUAGGUCUCUUUAAGAAGUGUUGAAAUUUUCCAAAAGAGUUAAGAGCUUGUAGGACUCACAGCCAUAUUUGGACCAUAUUAAUCUAAAAUCAUGUUGUUAUUUUCAUUACUUUUUGUAUUUAUGAUGUGACACAUUUUUAUAUAACGAGUCAAAUAAAUAAUUUAAUUAUAUUCAAUAAUUCUAAAUUAUGUUAUUAAAUCAAAGUGAUUAAAACAGAUGGUUGAUAAUUAUAGCAUUUUUAUUAAUCUGAAUAUGGAAAUACUAUUCCUUUUUAUUUUCUAACACGACAUUCCAUCGGCGGAGGGAGUAAAGAGACAAGUGAGGUCAAUUGAUUUUACUGGGAAAAAAAAUUAUACUAUAAAUCUCAAAAAAAAUUAUACUAUCACCUCAAUAAAAAAAAUACAUUACUUUGAUCUUACUAAAAAAAAUUAAACGAUUAUUUUAUAAUUAUAUAUAAUUUUAUAAUUUUAUAAUUUUAAUCCCUUAGACUAAUAUCCGGGCUAUACUCAUGAGUCCAUUUACGUCCAUUUUUUCUUUUUUUUUGAUUAACCACAGAAUGUCUUAGACAGGCAUUUGGCUAGCUAGACUAAUCUCUGUACCAUGAGCAGCUAGCCCUUCACACCUCAGGAUGUAAAACGCGGAUAUGCGAUGCAGUCACCAGGAAUCGAACGCAAUACCUCCGAGUGUUAGCUCGUGUACCUGAAGUCCGCCCGAAGCGACUGUGCCUUGUACCCGAAAGCGAAGGUGAG
rnacentral:lncRNA from 1 species